UACGCCCAUAUUACUUUAAAACACAGGUUCUCGUACGAUCACUGAAGUUAGGUAACCUCGAGCCUAGGUCAGUCCUUACAUGGGUGACCGCUUGGGUACACCAGGUGGUGUAAG